UUAUGACGUAUGUGGUGGUCUCAGAAAGACAUGACAAAUCCAUCCAUGAGCAAUCGACCACGAGGGACGUAAUUUGUGUUGGUGCGUAAGUAAGGAUAGCGUCCAUAGAACUCAAUGUAUUUCGGUACACCCAACAUGGCUGCCACAUACGUGCUAAGAAACUCAUCAUCGUUCAGUUGCAACUAGUUAUGCCUGAUUAUACUGUAAAGAGGGGAGUCAUUCCAGGACCUGCUGUAAACACGUCUAGGUUAGAGUUUUUAUUCAAUGGCAUCUUCCAUGAAUUCUCUGGAAGCGAUUCAGAAAAAAAUAGAUGCUGUUAAACUCUUCCUCUCUGUUUCACUGAGCAUCGCCAAUGCCCACACUGUGGAUUUCUACACUUGCGAUGUAUGGGACCAGUUCAUGGCUGUGCCACCCGUGGAUGUCUUGACAGAGAUCACUUUGAAUGGUGACCACAAGAGGACGCCAGAACACUACUUAAAUCAUGGCAAUGCCGAGAAGAUCACCUUUGGUUUCUGUGAUGAUAGUAAGCGCCUGGUGGAUGUGGCUGAGCUCUUGGAGGCUGCCUAUGCCCACUCCCUGCCUGGCCUCGGGGUCUGUGUGGGCCGCACAGAGCUACUGCAAUCCCUCAGACACACUGACAACGCUCAACCCCUGGAGGAAGUUCCAGCUGCUGUGGUGGAGAGUGGUGAAUUUAUGAACUCCAAGAAGUCCCACGAGGUGCAGGCCAUGUCAGAGGUGGUGGCCAGCCUAGCCCAGCGCUGCCGGGUCAAACAGGUGAUUGACGUGGGCUCGGGGAAAGGUUACCUGUGCUCCUUCCUGUCGCUGCGGUACGGCCUCCAGGUGUACGGCAUCGACUCGUCCAGCAGCAACACGCACGGCGCCCAGGAGAGGAACAGGAAGCUCAAGAAGUACUCCCGGGCCUACCAGAGGCACAGCAAAGCCAAUAGAACUCUGACAGUGAUGCCCCCUUCAGGCCAGGAAGACUUGGAGGAUAUUGCACCGGGUGAGAGAGAGAGAGAGGAUAUGGUUAAGAUGAGUGGGGAUGCAGAGAAGGAGGAGGGGAGGAGAGACGGGGAGGCACAGACCAACACAACAGGGUUAACAGAUCGGAAUGAGGAAGAUGCAAUGACAUCACUUACCUCCGCCAUUUUGUUAGAGGACAAUUCCCUUCCAGAGUUGGACCAAAGUGACCCAGCCUCAGCUCCAGAGGAUCCUUUUCUCAGUGCCCUGUGUGUGGGCAUGGUGGAGCCCACCUCCCCCCGGGGUCCCCCCAGUGAGUUGAGCCUGGAGGAGAGGGAGAGGAGGAAGAGGGAGAACCUGGAGAGGAAGGCCAGGAGCUGGGUUAACAGUGGUGGCAUGGGCAGCGGCAUGCUGUACUCACCUCUGACCUCCUACGUUACCGCGGAGACGGAGCUCAAAGAGAUUAUUGGGGAGUUAGAGGCCUGUUUCAGUGCUGAGGCCGCUCUCCCUGUUUUCCAAACCCAGGAUGCGGUCAUGGUUGGUCUGCACACGUGUGGAGACCUGGCGCCCAGCACCCUGCGCAUGUUUGUGGCCAAACGGGAGCUCCUCUCAGUCUGCAGCGUUGGCUGCUGCUACCACCUUCUCUCUGAGGAGUUUGAUCCCACCAGACAAGAGUGUCCAAGCAGCAGCGUGUGUGGUUUCCCCCUGAGUGGCUAUCUGAGGGAGCAGUCCUGGUUCUGUGGCAGAAAUGCCAGGAUGUCGGCGUGUCUGGCUUUGGAGAGAGUUGCCAAGGGCCAAGGGAUUCAGAUGGAGUCACUCUUCUAUAGGGCCGUCCUCCAUGUGAUUCUAAAGGAUCACUACAGCUCCUUUAAAAGGUAGGUUUGGUCUCCCUAAUCCAUGUGAUUCUAAAGGAUCACUACAGCUCCUUUAAAAGGUAGGUUUGGUCUCCCUAAUCCAUGUGAUUCUAAAGGAUCACUACAGCUCCUUUAAAAGGUAGGUUUGGUCUCCCUAAUCCAUGUGAUUCUAAAGGAUCACUACAGCUCCUUUAAAAGGUAGGUUUGGUCUCCCUAAUCCAUGUGAUUCUAAAGGAUCACUACAGCUCCUUUAAAAGGUAGGUUUGGUCUCCCUAAUCCAUGUGAUUCUAAAGGAUCACUACAGCUCCUUUAAAAGGUAGGUUUGGUCUCCCUAAUCCAUGUGAUUCUAAAGGAUCACUACAGCUCCUUUAAAAGGUAGGUUUGGUCUCCCUAAUCCAUGUGAUUAUAAAGGAUCACUACAGCUCCUUUAAAAGGUAGGUUUGGUCUCCCUAAUCCAUGUGAUUCUAAAGGAUCACUACAGCUCCUUUAAAAGGUAGGUUUGGUCUCCCUAAUCCAUGUGAUUCUAAAGGAUCACUACAGCUCCUUUAAAAGGUAGGUUUGGUCUCUCUAAUCCAUGUGAUUCUAAAGGAUCACUACAGCUCCUUUAAAAGGUAGGUUUGGUCUCCCUAAUCCAUGUGAUUCUAAAGGAUCACUACAGCUCCUUUAAAAGGUAGGUUUGGUCUCCCUAAUCCAUGUGAUUCUAAAUGAUCACUACAGCUCCUUUAAAAGGUAGGUUUGGUCUCCCUAAUCCAUGUGAUUCUAAAGGAUCACUACAGCUCCUUUAAAAGGUAGGUUUGGUCUCCCUAAUCCAUGUGAUUCUAAAGGAUCACUACAGCUCCUUUAAAAGGUAGGUUUGGUCUCCCUAAUCCAUGUGAUUCUAAAGGAUCACUACAGCUCCUUUAAAAGGUAGGUUUGGUCUCCCCUAAUCCAUGUGAUUCUAAAGGAUCACUACAGCUCCUUUAAAAGGUAGGUUUGGUCUCCCUAAUCCAUGUGAUUCUAAAGGAUCACUACAGCUCCUUUAAAAGGUAGGUUUGGUCUCCCUAAUCCAUGUGAUUCUAAAGGAUCACUACAGCUCCUUUAAAAGGUAGGUUUGGUCUCCCUAAUCCAUGUGAUUCUAAAGGAUCACUACAGCUCCUUUAAAAGGUAGGUUUGGUCUCCCUAAUCCAUGUGAUUAUAAAGGAUCACUACAGCUCCUUUAAAAGGUAGGUUUGGUCUCCCUAAUCCAUGUGAUUCUAAAGGAUCACUACAGCUCCUUUAAAAGGUAGGUUUGGUCUCCCUAAUCCAUGUGAUUCUAAAGGAUCACUACAGCUCCUUUAAAAGGUAGGUUUGGUCUCCCUAAUCCAUGUGAUUCUAAAGGAUCACUACAGCUCCUUUAAAAGGUAGGUUUGGUCUCCCUAAUCCAUGUGAUUAUAAAGGAUCACUACAGCUCCUUUAAAAGGUAGGUUUGGUCUCCCUAAUCCAUGUGAUUCUAAAGGAUCACUACAGCUCCUUUAAAAGGUAGGUUUGGUCUCCCUAAUCCAUGUGAUUCUAAAGGAUCACUACAGCUCCUUUAAAAGGUAGGUUUGGUCUCCCUAAUCCAUGUGAUUCUAAAGGAUCACUACAGCUCCUUUAAAAGGUAGGUUUGGUCUCCCUAAUCCAUGUGAUUCUAAAGGAUCACUACAGCUCCUUUAAAAGCGAGAAGCGUGUGGGGAACGUCUACUCCAAGGCCACCUCGUUCGUGGACUACGUCUGGAGAGCCCUCCGGAGGCUGGAGCUGGACGAGUCAAAGCUGUCUGACGGUGUCAUACAGGGUUACC